UCUUCCGCAAUGGCCGAAAGUCUGACGGAGCAACGCCGCGGGAGCGAUGAAGGCUUUCGGGUCGUAAAACUCUGUUGCUAGUGAAGAACAAGUGCUAGUUGAAUAAGCUGGCACCUCGACGGUACCUAACCAGAAAGCCACGGCUAACUACGUCCCAGCAGCCGCGGUAAUACGUAGGUGGCAAGCGUUAUCCGGAAUUAUUGGGCGUAAAGCGCGCGCAGGUGGUUUCUUAAGUCUGAUGUGAAAGCCCACGGCUCAACCGUGGAGGGACAUUGGAAACUGGGAGACUUGAGUGCAGAAGAGGAAAGUGGAAUUCCAUGUGUAGCGGUGAAAUGCGUAGAGAUAUGGAGGAACACCAGUGGCGAAGGCGACUUUCUGGUCUGUAACUGACACUGAGGCGCGAAAGCGUGGGGAGCAAACAGG
rnacentral:rRNA from 1 species